CACCCCCAAAAGCACAGCAAAGCAAACAAAGUGCAAAAGAUAUAGCAAGACACAAGUUCACAAACAAGCCAAAACAAACACAUCAUAAUAACGACUAGAAUUGAAAAUAAUAUAAAUAUUUUUUCCAAAUUUCUUCGCUCGUCUUCUUUAACUUCAGCUCGGAUCUAAUUCGAGGGAGCGAGAGAGGGAAAUAAAGGGGAAAUGCAUAUCCCAAGUUUAGCGAUGGAAAGAGGAUAUGUCGUAGUGAGAGUCUCUCAAAGAAACUCCAAUUUUGCUCCAAAAUUGUUCAUGCAAAGAAUGUAAAAAAAGAAGAAGAAGAGUUAGUAAGACAAAUCAACAAUGCUCAAUAUCAAAUAAAC
rnacentral:lncRNA from 1 species